rnacentral:rRNA from 1 species
GAACGCUGCGGCGUGGAUAAGACAUGCAAGUCGAACGAAAACACUAAUUAGUUUACUAAGCGGUGUUUUAGUGGCGGACGGGUUAGUAACACGUGAGUAACAUGCCUUGAAGUGGGGGAUAGCCUUUCGAAAGGAAGAUUAAUACCGCAUGUGGUCUUCGGACCAAAGAUGCCUUCGGGUGUCGCUUUAAGAUUGGCUCGCGGCCUAUCAGUUAGUUGGUGAGGUAACGGCUCACCAAGACAACGACGGGUAGCUGUUCUGAGAGGAAGAUCAGCAACACUGGAACUGAGACACGGUCCAGACACCUACGGGUGGCAGCAGUCGAGAAUCAUUCACAAUGGACGAAAGUCUGAUGGUGCAACGCCGCGUGGAGGAUGAAGGCCCUAGGGUCGUAAACUCCUGUCAUAUAAGAGUAAGGCAUAACAACUUAAUAUCUGUUAUGUUUGAUAGUAUUAUAAGAGGAAGGGACGGCUAACUUCGUGCCAGCAGCCGCGGUAAUACGAAGGUCCCGAGCGUUAUUCGGAAUCACUGGGCGUAAAGAGUACGUAGGCGGUCAGGUAAGUCAGGUGUGAAAUCCCGGAGCUCAACUCCGGAACUGCAUCCGAUACUGCUUGACUUGAGUAAUGGAGAGGCAGGUGGAAUUCUCGGUGUAGCAGUGAAAUGCGUGGAUAUCGAGAGGAAGACCAAUGGCGAAAGCAGCCUGCUGGACAUUUACUGACGCUGAGGUACGAAGGCUAGGGUAGCGAAAGGGAUUAGAUACCCCUGUAGUCCUAGCAGUAAACGGUGCGCGCUUGGUGUAGGAGGACUCGACCCCUUCUGUGCCGGAGCUAACGCGUUAAGCGCGCCGCCUGGGGAGUACGGUCGCAAGACUAAAACUCAAAUGAAUUGACGG